GAGAGAGAGAGAGAAAAAAAGUAAGAAAAAAAGUUAAUCUAAUAAAAUUGAGGGGGGGGGAGAGGGAAUGAUCCACUUCCAGGUGCUAGUGGAGAAUCCCACGCAUGCAGUGUGCAACUACCUCAAAAUAAAAAAUCGGUAGGGGCAAAGACAUAAAACAUCUGUCUAUGACUGAGAUGCAGAUGCAUUUCAAGAGGCACCACCUCCUGCAAAUUGGCAUGGCUUCUUAGGCUGGGACUGGUUGUGGCAGAAGCAGCAACAGUCCCCCUACUGCUGGAAGGGAGAAGAGAAAGACCACCCUAGAGCAGUAGGAUAUGACAACCAGGGACAAGGGCAGAGUGAGUGGCAAGCUUCCCUCUGUGAGGGAGAUCACCCAGCACCUGGGAGAUAUUCUGGCUCUCAAUGACCAGCCCUUCCUGAUGGUGGAGCAGGAAAGGUUUAAUCAUUUGAUGGUGCUGGUGACUCCCCACUACAAGGUCCCCUUGCAUACCACCUUCUCAAGGACGUUGGCGAUGUCCCUGUAUUGGGGCUGCAGGGAAUGUGUGGAGCAGUUGCUGGAUGGUGCCAGUUGGAUGUCCCUCUUCAAAAAAAAAGGAUGAGCUUGUUUGGGAUGCUUUAGCUGGAGAUCACAGAGUAAGGUUGGAUAUGAUGGCCCAUGAAGACCCUUUCAACUGUAUGGAUCUAUAAUUCUUCUUUGUUUUUAAGGUGGUGGAUGUUUUUUCCUGAGCAUCAGGUCCACAGAUAUGAUAUGGCUUAUUUUGUAUUUCAUCUUUUCACUCCGAUUCAAAUAGGAUACUGUGGCACUUACAAAGUUGCAGAAAACCUGAACAAAAAUGAAACUUUUGGGGAGGACAUGGAACACAUUUUCAUGAGCUAUUGCUCUGCUGUUCACCACAAAAAGCAAACUAGAAAGUGUUAGCCUGAGGUCCAACUGGUUCUGUUUAGAAACUUUGUUUUACAUAGCUUUGGGGUACACAUCAAGAAACAUAGGAAGUAACCUUGUAUGAUACCAUACUAUUAUACCAUCUGCAUUGUUCAUACUGACUAGCAGCAUCUCUCCAGGAAUGAAGAUAGGGGCUUACCCUAUGUGAAGUUGCCAGGAAUUAAACUGGAAAUCCUCAGUUAGCAUUUUGUGCUUGCUGAUUCCAUUUUUGUUUUUCCACAUAAGUUUCCCUGCAUCUUUGUAACAUGCAGCCAUUUUUCUUCUGCUCCCCAGUAUCUGCUCCAUUUGACUGAAUAUUAACAUGUAAUUGGGCCAUCACUUGCUUCCCAGCUGAGCCCAGCCAUGAAUGAAACAUGGAGCCCUCAUCAUUGAAAAGGCGAAAUAAACGGUUGCCUCUUUCCCUGCCUGCUGCAAGAAGGUGUUCCACGUUGCAAGUGUAAGAUUGAUAGAUCAAGAGGCAAGAAGGACUAGAGAAGUAAUAGAUGUCUCAUCUCUGGCUACAUUAAGGAAUGUAAAGUCAUCUAUGCAUUUGUUUUUUUCUUGAUACCCCAUAAAACAAAGCCCUUCUUUUUUAUUUUUGAUAUGGGAUAUGUUUUCUGUUACAUAUACUUCUGGAUUUCUGUGACUGCAUGAAGAAAAGACAUCCCAAAAGCACUGAGCCCCCUUUGUGUGCUUGACACCCCAUUUAAAAAUGGACAUGAUUUUUCAAGCAUUUUUUGCCCCUAACCAUGCAAAGGCCCUCCAAAAAUGUGGAAGUACAGGCAGUUACCCUCACUAUCCUACAAGCACCUCAAAUCCUUGCAUGCAUACCACAUUCCUUCUUUUCCCUUUGAGGUUAUUUCUUAUUGCCAUUUUGAGAUGAGGUAUAGAAGAAAUCCAAGGUAUUUCAGCUUGCUGUAUGCAUGUUGGGCAGUGGGGCCUAUAGUGUAGUCAGGAGGGGAAAUUCAUCCUUGCUUGAGCUGAAGGACUUUCAAUUUAAACAAUAAGAUCAAUGUUAUUUUAAUUGUCUGUAAAGCAAAGCAGUAAAGAGUCAGCAUAGUAUAGCAAUCUGUGUGUUGUACUAAGACUUUAGGAGACCAUGGUUUGAAGCUUACUUGACCAUGGAAACCCACUGAAUAACCUUGGACAAGUCUCACUUUCUCAGUUUCAAAGAAAGGCAAUGGCAAACCCCUUCUGAACAAAUCAUGUCAAGAAAUUCCAAUGAUAGAUUAAUCUUGAAGUCACUAUAAGUCCGAAAUGACUUGAAGGCACAUAGUAACAAAGCAAAGAAAUACAUAUUGUUUUUCGAUUCUUAUAGUCAAUGACAGCUGUGUGACUCUGAGAUCAGUGGAGUAGUGAAGCCACUCUGGAUUUUCAUCCAAAAAACUUUGGCAGAGUGCUGCACUCAACCUCCUGCUUUUCAGCAGGAAAGAAACAGCUAUGUUGGGAAGAAUGUAUGUUUCACAUACAUCUUAUACUCACAGGAUGAAUGUAAUUUUAGACAAUAUAUUUAAAUAAUUUUGUGCAUGCAACAAGGUCCAUGAACAUUGAAACACUGGAAAGCACCUCAGUCACCCGUGUGAACAAUUUGAGAUUUUAAAGUAUUCCAGAACUCUUAUUAAGGGAUACUCAAGCUCUACUACUUGCUGUGUCAAUGAGUUCCAGAAGACAACUGUGCAAUAUGCUUUCUUAAUUACAUUAAGUCACUUUAGCCUGUCCUGGCAUGGUUUUACAUAUUUUUUAAGUCAUUUAAAAUAUCCUCUUUUUAGGCCGUUGGGGCUUUCUUACUUUUGCUUUAACUAUGAUGAAAAAUUUCUGUACCUGGGGACAUUUUAUUGAGUUUUCUCUGUACCUUCUCCAAUUCUACCUUAAACUUGGGAGAGCAAACUGUUUCUAAAGGAUGAGGUUUUUUAAUCAUCUCAGAAGUGACUUGAGAACAUGAUACUCAGGGUCUGAAUACUCUGGUGAUUUAUAAAAUGACAUGAUAAUAUUUCCUUAAAUGCUGUUUAUCUUUCUUUAUAGUUUUCCAAUGAUGAAGACACUGGUUUUCUGUUUUCAAAAGGACACUUAAUUUUAGCUUUUCUGGGCACUAAAUCACAAGAUAUCUUUCUCUAAGGUUUUCUCACCUGUAAAAGAACUCAUGCUUGUUGUUUUGUUUUGUUUUUGUUUUGUUUUUUUUUAAAAAAACUGUAUAAUAAGCAGUUCUGCUGUUAUUAAUUUUGUGUGUUCAUUAAAAGGUGGCAGAUAAAGAUCAGUUAGCUUUCUUCAUUGUUUACUCUUUCAUCUGCCAUAAACAGACAAAUCACGAUGACUUUGAUAAGCAGAUGGAAAGAUGUCUGGUUUCAAUAGACCUUUUCUUCACCAUAAGUAUACAUGAUGACUUCUACCAUUGGUGUCAGAUAUGAGGAAUUCAUAUGUUGUGAAUUAUGGUAUGAACUGACUUUAGCCAAAUUUUCUGGACUAAUGUGGAGAUAGUAAUGCCCUACUUAUUCUUCAUACUAUCUACUCUUCUGAUGUUUCAAGACAGACCCCUUAAAGUGCCAGACCAGACUUUAAUAAAAGUAGAAUUUAUUAGUUCACAACAAAAGAGCCCAAAAACAAACUCAAAAAGGCUCAAAACAAUCUUCAGUGUGAAGCACAGUAUUUCCCACAGUUAAAGCAAAACCCAAACCCUGGAAAAUAACCCGGAUUUAACCGGAGUAUAAUCCGAAUCAAACUCCCAUCUUUGCAAAACAAUGGAAAAAGCACUCCAAUUCACAGCAGGACGCCAGCAGGCAGGAAGAGAUGAACAGCAGGGAGCCGAAGAUGUCUGGCAAAGUCAGUCAAACACAGUAUCCAAUCAGGAGAAGGCAGCAAACACGAGAAUCCAGUCCAGGUCACUCCCCGUGCGUAGAAUGCAGCAUGGCAGCUAAUGCACAAGAUCAACACAAGGCAGUCCAGGGAAAACCCUCACAGUUCCAACCCCCAUAGCCAAGAAUAAUCUGGAUUAAACUUACGUCCACAGCAGUUUUCCUAAACACGUCUUCCCAAACAGCUCUCAAGGACACACAAAUACCCAUCAACAUCUUGCCGACUGCAAAGGUGCCCCAUUUCCCAACCCCACUUUUAUUCACAAUUCCUCCUCAGAACUGGAAUCAGACAACGCCCCACCAGACCUCCUUUCAGCUAAAACCCCUUGCUGAGCCCUCCACUCUGUCUAUCUUUUAUCCAAACCCAUAACUCCCCAAGAUUCAGCCGGAUCCCCACUGUGCCAACCCUCGAACGUGUCGCUACUUGUGGGUUCUCUAAAGAUGUCCUGGAUCUCCCGCACCUUAGUCCAGUCCAUUACCUCAUCCUCAGAACUUGUCAUCCCAUCCUCCUGAUUCUCAACCCCAUCCUCCUCCUCAACUGAGUCAUUGUCAGUAGGCUCCAUAAGUCUCUCCCAGAUUUGCUUCCUUUGUCACUCCUCAUCGGAGUCUUGCUCACGAGUAGUCUUUCUUCCCCUUCUAGUACUCCUAGAAGUAUCACUAUUCAAAGACGCCAUCACAAAAUCUGAAUUUUGAAAUAAUUGAUUAUAGAGCAAAACAUAUAUAAAAAUGAAUGUAAGAAGACAAACUAAAACUAAAUAUGCAUAGGCUAAAGUGCAUUUGUUAAAAAAUUUAUUCAAAAGGUAAUACAUAAUUGCUGUACAGAUUUUCUUUUUUAAAAUAAAAAGCAUAUAUUAAUGUGGAAAUAGAAUGAUGAUGAUGAUAAUAAUAAUAAUAAUUUGAUUACCUGCCUCUCCUUGAAGCUCAAAAUGGGGUAGAACUGACACAGGAAGUUAAAAUGAUGGCAUUGCCCCUAAAUAAGAAUUCUGCCGUUCCCAAAUAUGAUAUUUCUUCAUUUUCCAAAUGUCUAGUAUUGCAGUAACUGAAACUGUAGUUGAGACUUUAGAAAACAGUUUAGGCACCUAGAGUUGCCAAAAGAAUGAGAGCAGAGCAAACAUAAGAAUUCUAGAUGUUUAUGAGUAUCAGAUUUUCACUACC